AGUGAACGCUGGCGGCGUGCCUAAUACAUGCAAGUCGAACGGAGCGGCGGACGGGUGAGUAAUGCCUAGGAAUCUGCCUGGUAGUGGGGGAUAACGUCCGGAAACGGGCGCUAAUCCCGCAUACUAUCAGAUGAGCCUCGGUCGGUUUAGCUAGUUGGGGGGGUAAAGGCCUACCAAGGCGACGAUCCGUAACUGGUCUGAGAGGAUGAUCAGUCACACUGGAACGUAGACACGGUCCAGACUCCUACGGGAGGCAGCAGUGGGGAAUAUUUGGCAAUGGGCGAAAGCCUGAUCCAGCCAUGCCGCGUGAGUGAAGAAGGUCUUCGGAUUGUAAAGCACUUUAAGUUGGGAGGCGUUACCAACAGAAUAAGCACCGGCUAACUUCGUGCCAGCCGCCGCGGUAAUAC
rnacentral:rRNA from 1 species